UCCCUGUUAGUAGCAAAACAGACUCGUCUUUAGCCUGCCGCAAAGCAAUGCAUGCCUCUGGCACAGCUCAAAUCUGGCAGAGGUUUGGGGGCCUAGUAGUUGGACAUUUUUUUAUCUUUUUUUUUCUUUUUCUUUUUUAAGGUAAGUGCCUGUUUCUAACCCCCAUUAUUGCAGCAAAAAGCUACAGAAAUGACCUCUGCUGAAACGUGGAAACAUCUCGGCGUUCAGCAGCUGGAGGCAGUAGCUGGAAAGGCAGGAGCAGCCCCCGCACCGCUUAGGUUAGUGCUGCGAUGGUGCCGCUGCCGCUCGCCCAUGGCACUGUGUGUGUGAGACCUGAAAAGGAAAGGACCGAGUGUGGCCACGGACCCAGCUACGUGGCCGGGGGGUAAAAGGGAAAAGCCUGGACAAUGGUUAAGUAAUUAAAUGAUAGCAAUGAGGAGGCAGCACAAUGAAAAGCAAGAAUUGCCUCAGUGAUGCAUGUGAAGAUUGCUGGGCAGCCAGCUCCAAAUAGGCACAGAGAGGAGAGCUGCAGAGGCAAGUAUCUCCACGUCGCAUCGUUGGUGGGCCUCUCUUCGAGUGUAGCAGCCCCAUUAAGGAUUCGUCCUUGUGCCUUGUCCUGUCCCGUUGCCUGGCUCC